GAAAAAAUACGCGGACAAGGAGGUAUAAACGACGUUUCGGGCGUCCGCCCGAAACGUCGUUUAUACCUCCUUGUCCGCGUAUUUUUU
rnacentral:pre_miRNA from 1 species